AUUAGUAUCGACCCCUUAUCUGGCAACGUCUUAAAAAUGACAGUUGAAACCACCAGCUGGUGAAUACCGAAGUGCAAAUCGGUGAAGGGUUCUUCGGGUCUCCAGCUUCUGGCUUCGAUCUUUUCUAUUGGAGUCGUCAAGCUGAGAAGUUGGUCCCGAACCCAGCAGGGAAAAUAUACGAGCGAGCAUAUGCACAUGUGCUCCGGACCCUAAUCCCACUGAUAUUUCGGCAUCGGUUGAAAAAGGCCAUCAACAAACGCCAAUCUACCGGCUGCCAAAGAUUGCCGUGUCGGCAAGGUCACGCUUGUUUUCUUUGACUACACGGCGAGAAAUCGCUAGGUCGAUUGAGCAGAAAAAAUACAAGAAAAGGAAGCACUGGCUAAACGAGGCAGCAGAGCAGAUUGGUUACGCUAUUCAGCGCCGGCCAAAAAAAGGCGGCUGGAGCAGUUAUCUCUGCUGGGGAAAAUUUAUUUGGAGUUCGCAGCAGCUUGGAGCACAGAAAAACCCACAAAAAGUGACCCAAAAAUAAACGUGUAACACACAGUGCAGAUUAAAAAAAUUUAAAAUUAAAAGCCCUUAAAAUCUAGUGACAAAUUAAAAGUUAACGAAGACGAGGAAAUGGGUUAAAACAACUCAUAAAAUACACGACUAGCUAAAAUGUAAAAUCUUAAGAAAAAAACCCGACCUCAAAACAGAGAAAAAAAAAACAUGCAAAAUAGUGUAAAAACACAUACAUAAAACUUAUUUUUUUUGUUUGUUCGAUUAAAAACCACUAGAGUUAAAACCAUAUCGAAUCAUCAUCAUUAGUACCCAAUCAUGAAAUUAUGAAGUGUCUCAAAUCCGAUAAGAAAUAAAAAUUUAAAAUAGGCAUGUAAAAGGUGUUAAAAAAAACAAUGACAG